UACGUAGGGUGCAAGCGUUAAUCGGAAUUACUGGGCGUAAAGCGUGCGCAGGCGGUUCGCUAAGACAGAUGUGAAAUCCCCGGGCUUAACCUGGGAACUGCAUUUGUGACUGGCGGGCUAGAGUAUGGCAGAGGGGGGUAGAAUUCCACGUGUAGCAGUGAAAUGCGUAGAGAUGUGGAGGAAUACCGAUGGCGAAGGCAGCCCCCUGGGUUAACACUGACGCUCAUGCACGAAAGCGUGGGGAGCAAACAGG
rnacentral:rRNA from 1 species